UACAGAGGUCCCAAGCGUUGUUCGGAGUUACUGGGCGUAAAGGGCUCGUAGGCGGCCAACUAAGUCAGACGUGAAAAUCCCCAGGCUCAACCUGGGAACUGCGUCUGAUACUGGCGGGCUUGAAUUCGGGAGAGGGAUGUGGAAUUCCAGGUGUAGCGGUGAAAUGCGUAGAUAUCGGAGGAACACCGGUGGCGAAGGCGGCUUCCUGGACCGACACUGACGCUGAGGCGCGAAAGCUAGGGGAGCAAACGGGGA
rnacentral:rRNA from 1 species